AUUGAACGCUGGCGGCAUGCCUUACACAUGCAAGUCGAGCGGUAAGGCCCUUUCGGGGGUACACGAGCGGCGAACGGGUGAGUAACACGUGGGUGACCUGCCCUCAGCUCUGGGAUAAGCCUGGGAAACCGGGUCUAAUACCGGAUAUGACUCCAUGACGCAUGUUGUGGGGUGGAAAGCCUUGUGCGGCUGAGGAUGGGCCCGCGGCCUAUCAGCUUGUUGGUGGGGUGAUGGCCUACCAAGGCGACGACGGGUAGCCGGCCUGAGAGGGCGACCGGCCACACUGGGACUGAGACACGGCCCAGACUCCUACGGGAGGCAGCAGUGGGGAAUCUUGCGCAAUGGGCGAAAGCCUGACGCAGCGACGCCGCGUGAGGGAUGACGGCCU
rnacentral:rRNA from 1 species